rnacentral:misc_RNA from 1 species
UCUAUGGGCGUAUACCAUUUUUGUUAGCCGUGUGCAAUUGUGAAUUUUGUGUUAAAUAUAUCAAAAGGGAUAAUUGAGGGAAAUUAUUCUGUAUUAAGUAGCCGUUCGUUUCAGUCAGGCCGUAGCUAUGACGCGUGGCCGGGGUUUUAGUAUGUCAUAUCGAGGUGGUUCAGGUCGUUCUCCAUGGGGUGGAUCAGACAGAAGCCGCUCAGGUUAUGGAUCUUCAAGAGGCGGCCCUGGGGGCGGAAGUGGGGGUCGAUUUUCUAACUCAUUCUCAAGCUCUUUUGAUUUUAGACCCUCUGAACGUUAUUCAGGUUCAAGACAUGAAGAUUAUCACAAAUCUUAUCGCAUGGAACCCAAUCAGAGUUAUUCCAGUCGUGAUCAUCGUUCGCCAGAGCGAAAAAGAAUGAGACCUGAGG